GCGGGCGUAGCUCAGCUGGUUAGAGCACCUGGGUCACAACCAGGGGGUCACAGGUUCGAAUCCUGUCGUCCGCACCA
rnacentral:tRNA from 1 species